UACGGGGGGGGCAAGCGUUGUUCGGAAUUACUGGGCGUAAAGGGCUCGUAGGCGGCCAACUAAGUCAGACGUGAAAUCCCUCGGCUUAACCGGGGGACUGCGUCUGAUACUGGAUGGCUUGAGUUUGGGAGAGGGAUGCGGAAUUCCAGGUGUAGCGGUGAAAUGCGUAGAUAUCUGGAGGAACACCGGUGGCGAAGGCGGCAUCCUGGACCAACACUGACGCUGAGUGAGCGAAAGCCAGGGGAGCAAACGGG
rnacentral:rRNA from 1 species